GAGUACGGUCGCAAGACUGAAACUCAAAGGAAUUGACGGGGACCCGCACAAGCAGUGGAGUAUGUGGUUUAAUUCGAAGCAACGCGAAGAACCUUACCAGGUCUUGACAUCCAACUAACGAGGCAGAGAUGCGUUAGGUGCCCUUCGGGGAAAGUUGAGACAGGUGGUGCAUGGUUGUCGUCAGCUCGUGUCGUGAGAUGUUGGGUUAAGUCCCGCAACGAGCGCAACCCUUGACUUUAGUUG
rnacentral:rRNA from 1 species